rnacentral:rRNA from 1 species
UGCCUUCGGGAACUCUGAGACAGGUGCUGCAUGGCUGUCGUCAGCUCGUGUUGUGAAAUGUUGGGUUAAGUCCCGCAACGAGCGCAACCCUUAUCCUUUGUUGCCAGCGGUUCGGCCGGGAACUCAAAGGAGACUGCCGGUGAUAAACCGGAGGAAGGUGGGGAUGACGUCAAGUCAUCAUGGCCCUUACGACCAGGGCUACACACGUGCUACAAUGGCGCAUACAAAGAGAAGCGACCUCGCGAGAGCAAGCGGACCUCAUAAAGUGCGUCGUAGUCCGGAUUGGAGUCUGCAACUCGACUCCAUGAAGUCGGAAUCGCUAGUAAUCGUGGAUCAGAAUGCCACGGUGAAUACGUUCCCGGGCCUUGUACACACCGCCCGUCACACCAUGGGAGUGGGUUGCAAAAGAAGUAGGUAGCUUAACCUUCGGGAGGGCGCUUACCACUUUGUGAUUCAUGACUGGGGUGAAGUCGUAACAAGGUAACCGUAGGGGAACCUGCGGUUGGAUCACCUCCUUA